UCUUCCCCGCUGGUCACAGAUACAAGCUGCUCAGCUUCCCUCUGAGAGUUACGACGACAACGUGAAAGCCGGCCCCACCUGCCACAGGUUUCAAGUGGACGACUUGACACUGAGGCCACUGCACUGGAAGAAUGGAAGCUGAGGUCCGGGGCCUCCUCCAGGAGAUCUUGUCACAAUGCAAAGGCUCUCCUCAGGAAGCUCCCGGGUACAUCAACUCAAGUGUCUUCGUUUGAGUGCGGCCUGUGUGCCAGGCUCCGGGGCACAGAGAAGAAGCUGACUGGUUCUCUCCCUGCCUAGCAGCCAUCAUCUCACUCACCACGACAUAACCUGGGCGCCGGCACCAACCUUUAGAGGUUGCCUUCCUCAUCCUCCCAGGUCACCUGCUGACGGGGGUCUGAAGGGACACAGUCACCUCUAGAGACUCGCCCUGGCUCUGGGGUAGGACAACAUGUAAUCUCACCAGCCCUCAGAGCCCAAAGGCCUUUUCGGAACGCUAAUCUUCGAAUCGUAGUUUCCGCAUUUGUAAAGUGAGAGACUAGACCAUUUAAGAUACCCUCCUUAGGCUCCACACAGUCAACAUACGUGCAUUUGUGUCUUCCCUGGGUACAAGUCCUUUCUUUCUCUCCUUUUCCUGACAACAGUGCAGGGGGAACAGCCAUUAAUGUCCCUCUUUACUUUACAGCAGUGAGAAGUGGGGAGUUCCAAGGUCCUGCCUGUGGCCACCUGGAGCCUUCCAUGCUUACAGACGAGGUGGCAGCAGUCAGUGUGAGUGUUCCGGCCCAGAAGACUCGGCUCUGAGGGCUGGGCCAGUCUAGGCCUCCACACCCUACAUGUCCUGUUUCAACCACCACCUCAACUCCAAUAGCAGCUUUAGGAAAUUUUUCAGGAUGAAACUGCUGUGAGUUGUUCACACUAGAAGUUUGAAUCAGCUGUGCUUUUCUUUCAGCUAGAGGAGUCCUUACCACACAGUCUAGAAAUCAAGCCCAGAAACUCGUUAAAGAGAAAAACCAGAGUCACUGUGCUGAAAGCCUCAUGGCACCAAGCCUAGACGUCUCUGGUCAGUACACUGACCUCAUCUGUCACACAGGCCCUCUUCCAUCACCAGCGGAAGCUGGCCUUGUCAGAAACAGUCCUUCCUUUUGCCAGCAGCUUUCAAGUCCUGCCCAGUUUUGCCUAUAAAAAGCUUCCCGUUGUCCAGCUUCUCAGAGCAUCUCUAUUUACUAGAUGGGAUGCUGCCUGAUUCAGGAACCACUUAAUAAAGCUUAUUAGCUCUUCAAAUUUA